UGGAAUCGGGCUCAGAGCCAAUGGGCGGGCUACAUCUGAGCUCUAAUUUACAUACUACAGGGAAAAACUAAAGUUUUCUAAACAAAAUAUGAGAGAUUGACAACAAGAUAACGUUACAGCAUGUUGAUUAGAUAAGACUGAUCAAGUAGGCAUCAGGAGAUCCUUCUGGGUUUAUCAAAUAGCCAUUCAGUGUCUUUUCAAAAUAUGGACAGAGUUCAUCAGUCUGCAGUGCCACAAUGAAAUGCCUGAUCAGUUAAGCAAAAGAGAGCUGAAGAGAAAUUACAACAUUCUGUGUUCAUGUGAGCACAUUAACAAGGAUUUUACUCACUCACUCAUUCACUCACUCACUAUAGCUCUUAUCUUGUCCAGGGUUGCAGGGGCCUAUCCCAGGGAACUUGGCCACAUGGCAGGUGCCAUUGCAGGGCACACAAGCAAUUCACUCACUCACACAUUACGGGCAAUGUCUUUUGACUGUGGGAGGAAACCAAAGUACUUAGAGGAUUCCCAACAAGCACUGGAAGAACAUGCAAACUCCAUGCACACAGACCCAAGGCAGCACCCUGGAGGUGUAAGGUCACAGUGAUAACUCCACAGCACUGUGCUGCCAUUAACAAGGAUUUAGUAAAGUUGAUAAAAGAUAUUAUAUGACAUUCUUAAUAUCAGCCCCUGAGAUUAAUGAUGAAUAGGACCUAUAUAGGGUAAGUAGCUCAGUGGUUAAGGUAUUGGACUGCGGUUCGGAAGAUCCCAGGUUCAAACCCCACAACCACCAAGUUGCCACUGUUGGGCCCUUGAGCAAGGCCCUUAACCCUCAACUGCUCAGAUGUGUAAUGAGAUAAAAAUGUAAGUCGCUCUGGAUAAGAGCGUCUGCCAAAUGCCUAAAUGUAAAU